AGUGAGAGGUGCAGGAGCAAGGAGAUGUAAGAAUGCGUGGUGGUGGCAUUCCAAGGGCUCCAAGAACAGUAGUCAGUGAUGAAAUUCGUGCCACUAUCAUUGACCAUGUAAUCAACCACGGUCUUUCACUAAGAGAGGCUGGUGAAGAGUGCAGCCCAAUUUGAGGUGGUCAACGGUUGCUUCCAUUAUACGCAUCUUUCAACAAACCAACAGGUAAGUAUUGCAUUUUACAUGGAUUGUUUCUAUUCUCACUUGACAUGUCAAUAAGGUCAUACAGUAAUGCAUAUGUUUAAUUUUUUUGUCCCUCUAAAGAAUGCAACGUCUUCCACCCUCUGGGGGAAGAGGAAAGCUCCUCAAUAAUGAUCAAGAGCUUGCCAUUGUAGAAAUAGUUGUUGCAAACAAUGCAAUAAAACUGCGUGAAAUUCAGACUAGAAUUGUGGAGGACCAUGAGAUGUUUGAUAACAUCAAUAGCAUCAGCCUCACAACCAUUACGCGGACAUUGUCCAAACACAGAGUGCUGAUGAAGCAGCUCUACACUGUUCCCUUUGAGAGGAACAGUGAGAGAGUCAAGGAGCUACGACAACAAUAUGUCCAGAGAGUUUUGGAAUUGGAGGCCAACCAGGCCCCUCAUGAAUUCAUUUACAUAGAUGAGGCAGGAUUCAAUCUGGCCAAAAGGCGUCGACGUGGACGAAAUGUAAUUGGAAAAAGGGCCACAGUUGAUGUGCCAGGACAGAGAGGGACAAACAUUACCAUGUGUGCAGCAAUUGCAAAUGCAGGAUUACUCCUUCACAGAUGUUAGGUUGCAACAUCCUGGUUUGAAGUUCACCCAAGACUGGUAAGUCUCUUCCUUCCACCCUAUUCACCUUUCCUCAACCCCAUAGAGGAGUUCUUUUCAGCAUGGAGGUGGAAGGUUUAUGACCAUCAGCCACAUGACCAGAUGUCCCUCCUUGAAGCCAUGGAUGCUGGCUGCAGGGACAUCACAGUUCAGGAUUGUCAAGGGUGGAUCCGACAUACCAAGCGGUUUUAUCCCAGGUGCAUCGCCUUGGAUAAUAUCAGAUGUGAUGUUGACGAAAACAUGUGGCCUAACCCUGAAGAUCGCAGAGAUUAGAUACAGCAAUGUUGUGCUUUUUUUUUUUUUAGUUCCCCCAAUUUUUAUCUGGACUUUUUGCUGUUGUUUUUUUGUUCAGAAUGGUCUUGUGUGUUUCACGAAUAUUUUGUUCACUGUAAGAAAUACUGUAAAACUUUUUCUGUUCUAUCAUACCGUGUUUCUACUGUACCUCCUGUAGUAAACAGUAAAGGAAAAAAAAAA